GAGUUGCAUGGAUUGGAGACUGGUAGAAGAUGAGUUUCGAUGUGUAUGAAGAUGGAUGGACAAGAGUUUCGUGGACAGGAGAUAGGUGGAUAUGAUAGUCGUGAACAUGAGAUACGUGGACAACAGCUCUGUGGAUAGCAAACAACAACAUGAGUUAAGGGGAGUUGCAUGGAUUGGAGACUGGCAGAAGAUGAGUUUCGAUGUGUAUGAAGAUGGAUGGACAAGAGUUUCGUGGAUAGGAGAUCGGUGGAUAUGAUAGUCGUGGACAUGAGAUACGUGGACAAC
rnacentral:lncRNA from 1 species